CAAUUAUCACUUUUUCUAUUUCAUGUUCAACUGCUAUAUUUCUGCACCAGUAGUCGCUUUCCAAUUUUCAACAUGGGCAAAGCAACCAGUCCACUCGUUUACACCAAUCAUCUGACAAAGGUGCACCCCUUCACAACAAUAGACCCAACCAGCUGUGGUACGGUCACGUAAUUCAUUAUUAUUCACUUGAUCAGUGUCAACAUCGUCUAUAAACGUAAACAAGGUAU